rnacentral:piRNA from 1 species
UCCNCUGCUACUAUGAAGCUUGUGACCUU